ACCUUGAAAUACCACCCUUUAAUGUUUGAUGUUCUAACGUGGACCCGUAAUCCGGGUUGCGGACAGUGUCUGGUGGGUAGUUUGACUGGGGCGGUCUCCUCCCAAAGAGUAACGGAGGAGCACGAAGGUUGGCUAAUCCUGGUCGGACAUCAGGAGGUUAGUGCAAUGGCAUAAGCCAGCUUGACUGCGAGCGUGACGGCGCGAGCAGGUGCGAAAGCAGGUCAUAGUGAUCCGGUGGUUCUGAAUGGAAGGGCCAUCGCUCAACGGAUAAAAGGUACUCCGGGGAUAACAGGCUGAUACCGCCCAAGAGUUCAUAUCGACGGCGGUGUUUGGCACCUCGAUGUCGGCUCAUCACAUCCUGGGGCUGAAGUAGGUCCCAAGGGUAUGGCUGUUCGCCAUUUAAAGUGGUACGCGAGCUGGGUUUAGAACGUCGUGAGACAGUUCGGUCCCUAUCUGCCGUGGGCGCUGGAGAACUGAGGGGGGCUGCUCCUAGUACGAGAGGACCGGAGUGGACGCAUCACUGGUGUUCGGGUUGUCAUGCCAAUGGCACUGCCCGGUAGCUAAAUGCGGAAGAGAUAAGUGCUGAAAGCAUCUAAGCACGAAACUUGCCCCGAGAUGAGUUCUCCCUGAGACUUAGAGUCUCCUGAAGGAACGUUGAAGACGACGACGUUGAUAGGCCGGGUGUGUAAGCGCAGCGAUGCGUUGAGCUAACCGGUACUAAUGAACCGUGAGGCUUAACCUU
rnacentral:rRNA from 1 species